AGAUCCCUUAUAUACUAGAAAGAAAUUAAUUUUCGCUUUAAGAAGUUUAUAUCCCGGGUAGCAGUUUUUAAGGGUUAUUCCUUAACUAGCAUAAUAUCCGUAGUCAUGACUGAGAGGUCAAUUGAUCACAGUGUGGCCUGAAUAAAGCCCACAGUUUACUACAGCAGUGGGGAAUAUUGGUCAAUAGCCUAACGGCUGAACCAGCAACUUGGAGGAAUGUAUAGCGAAAGCUAGUUGCAUUACUAAUAGGAUAGUGCAGCAUUGACUAUGUCAACUAAAGUUCUAGGUAGAGUUAUGAUUAUGACAUUUUCUACCUAUGUGUCUUGACCAAAUCACGUGCCAGCAGUCGCGGUAAUACGUGGAAGACUAGUGUUAUUCAUCUUUAGUAGGUUUAAAGGGUACUUAGACGGUAAAUUCAGCCCAAUAAACAAGGGUACUGAUAAGACUAGAGUUUUAUACGAGGGGGAGACGGGAGUACUACCGGUGUAGAGAUGAAAUUUUGUCAUACCGCUAGGACUGGCAACGGCGAAAGCAACCCUUUAUGUAAAAACUGACGUUGAAGGACGAAGGCUUGGUUCACCAACAGGAUUAGUUACCCCAGCAGUCUGAGCAGACAAUGAUGAAUGUCAUAGAUAGGAAAUACUAUUAUCUGUCUAUAAAUGAAAGUGUAAGCAUUCCACCUCAAGAGUAAUGCGGCAACGCAUAAACUGAAAUCAUUAGACCGUUUCUGAAACCAGUAGUGAAGUAUGUUGUUUAAUUAGAUAGUCCUCUAAAAACCUCACCACAAUUUGUAUGUUUAUUUUAUAUAAAUACAAGCGUUGCACGGCUGUCUUCAGUUAAUGUCGUGAGAUUAUGGUUAGUUCCAUUAAUUAACGUAAACCCUUACUUUAUUUAAUUUAAUAUAUAAAGUAGUUCACCGCUAUAUUGGAU
rnacentral:rRNA from 1 species